UUUAGUCACACGCGAUAUCUCACACAGCGCUGCCACGAUUUUGAUGAAAAUUCGGGUGAAUGAUGCAUCUUGUCAUAGAGAUCCGGCAUUUAUAAAAAUAAAACUGAUUGGCCCAAGGUGGGGCCCUGCAUCGUUCGUGGGGGACUACAUGUUUUCUGUUGCCUUUUUUGAUUGUGGUUAGUAAUACACCCAACAGUCAUACGAGACAGAACUUACUCAUCAAGCUGUCUUUCUCGCAAGACUGAUUGGAGAGGUUGUGUGGAGGGCUCUGAUCGGAGAGGUUGUGUGGAGGGCUCUGUCUUUUUUAUUUUGCUUAUUAUUGUCCCCCACGAUGAAAUCAGAGGCGGGCUGGAUCUGUCUCUGUCCGUUCGUAAUAUCACGCGCCACCUCUCGCCCCAAUUUCAUGAAACUUGAGUGAUGCGUCUUGCCAUAGAGAUCCGGCGUUUAAAUAACUACACUGAUAGGCCCCAAAUCUACACUGAUAGGCCCCAAAAUCUACACUGAUAGGCCCCCAAAACUACACUGAUAGGCCCCAAAUCUACACAGAUAGGCCCCAAAAAACUACACUGAUAUGCCCCCAAGAACUACACUGAUAUGCCCCCAAGAACUACACUGAUAUGCCCCCAAGAACUACACUGAUAUGCCCCCAAGAACUACACUGAUAUGCCCCCAAGAACUACACUGAUAUGCCCCCAAGAACUACACUGAUAGGCCCCAAAAAACUACACUGAUAUGCCCCCAAGAACUACACUGAUAGGUCCCAAAAAACUACACUGAUAUGCCCCCAAGAACUACACUGAUAGGCCCCCAUGAACUACACGGAUAGACCCCCAAAAACUACACGGAUAGGCCCCCAGAAACUACACUGGUAGGCCCCAAGAAACUACACUUAUAGGCCCCAAAAACUAUAUUGAUAGGCCCCAAAAACUACACUGACAGGCCCCAAGAAACUACACUGACAGGCCCCAAGAAACUACACAGAUAGGCCCCCAGAAACUACACUGAUAGGCGCUAUAGUAAUCAACUGAAAUUCCAAACUUUGAACAAGCGGGUCUCCUGCGCUGCAUCAUUUGUGGGGGACAACAUGUUUACGGUUGCCUUGUUAUAUAUUUAUUGGUUGUAUGUAUCACCCUCAAACCUCUCUCAUUUAAAGCAAUACUACGUUUCUGAGCAUUGAUAUCUCACGACUGUUCAAUUGUAUAAUUAUAGUACAAUUUUCAUGUUCUUUACUUUCUCUAUCUGAAGCACAUACAUCUAAUGCCAAUACCAUUUUAUACUGUAAUACUUUGCUUUUAGUAUGGAAAUGGAAUCAUUCUUAUAAUAAAAUAUGUUUUGUCUA